rnacentral:rRNA from 1 species
GUCCAUUUGAAGAUAUAAAUGGUCUGGCCUGCCCACUGAUAUAUAAAUGUUAAAGGGCCGCGGUAUUCUGACCGUGCAAAGGUAGCAUAAUCAUUAGUUCUUUAAUUGGGAGCUUGUAUGAAAGGUCUGACAAAGGAAUAACUGUCUUUAUUGUAAAAUUUGAAUUUAACUUUUAAGUGAAAAGGCUUAAAUAAUUCAGGGGGACGAUAAGACCCUAUAAAGCUUUAUAUAUUAAUCUAAAUCAAUUGAAUUAAUUAAUAAAAAUUUAUGUUGAUUGUUAUAUUUUAUUGGGGCGAUAUAAAUAUAAAUUAUAUUAACUAUUUAAUAAAAGUACAAUAGAUAAAUGAGUAGUGUAAAGUAAAUAGAUCCUUUAUUUAAAGAUUAGAAGAUUAAGUUACUUUAGGGAUAACAGCGUAAUUUUUUUUAAGAGUUCAUAUCGAAAAAAAAGUUUGCGACCUCGAUGUUGAAUUAAAAUGUCUAUAUGGAGCAGUCAAUAUAUAAGAGGGUCUGUUCGACCUUUGAAUUUUU